AAUCAACGCUGGCGGCGUGCCUAACACAUGCAAGUCGAACGCGAAAGGGACUUCGGUCCUGAGUAGAGUGGCGAACGGGUGAGUAACGCGUGGGUGACCUACCCUCGAGUGGGGGAUAACGUUCCGAAAGGGACGCUAAUACCGCAUGACAUUCCUGGUUUGAAGACUGGGAAAUCAAAGCCGGGGACCGCAAGGCCUGGCGCCUGAGGAGGGGCCCGCGUCUGAUUAUCUAGUUGGCGGGGUAACGGCCCACCAAGGGGACGAGGCGUAGCCGACCGGAGAGGGUGAUCGGCCACAUUGGGACUGAGACACGGCCCAGACUCCUACGGGAGGCAGCAGUGGGGAAUAUUGCACAAUGGGGGAAACCCUGAUGCAGCAACGCCGCGUGAGUGAUGACGGUCUUCGGAUUGUAAAGCUCUGUCUUCAGGGACGAUAAUGACGGUACCUGAGGAGGAAGCCACGGCUAACUACGUGCCAGCCGCCGCAGUAA
rnacentral:rRNA from 1 species